UCCGGCGUGGUCUAGUGGCUAGGGAUAUCUGGCGUUCACCCAGAAGGCCCGGGUUCGAUUCCCGGCGUCGGAA
rnacentral:tRNA from 1 species